rnacentral:rRNA from 1 species
AUUGAACGCUGGCGGCAGGCCUAACACAUGCAAGUCGAACGCGUGGCGGACGGGUGAGUCAUGUCUGGGAAACUGCCUGAUGGAGGGGGAUAACUACUGGAAACGGUAGCUAAUACCGCAUACCAUCGGAUGUGCCCAGCUGGGAUUAGCUAGUAGGUGGGGUAAAGGCUCACCUAGGCUACGAUCCCUAGCUGGUCUGAGAGGAUGACCGGCCACACUGGAACUGAGACACGGUCCAGACUCCUACGGGAGGCAGCAGUGGGGAAUAUUGCACAAGGGGCGCAAGCCUGAUCCAGCCAUGCCGCGUGUGUGAAGAAGGUCUUCGGGUUGUAAAGCACUUUAAGUUGGGAGGCGUUACCAACAGAAUAAGCACCGGCUAACUUCGUGCCAGCAGCCGCGGUAAUAC